rnacentral:tmRNA from 1 species
GAACGCGAGCCGAGGAUGCCACUGGGCCUCGUUAAUCAGGUGGCAAAAAGAAGUACCUGGCAACCGCCAGUCGACUCUCGCUCUCGCUGCUUAGGCAGUAGAGUGAGCGUGGAAGCUGCCUCCGCCUCGCGGGUAGUGGAAGCGUCAUGCAGCGAGGCUGCGAUCCGGACAAGUGUCACGUAGUCCGGAGUCAAGCCCGAUCUAGGGGCACGUGACUGGACCGUCCGGCAGAGUGCCGAUGCCCGUCCGGGCGGUCGACGACAAACCAUCGGACACGCUCGUAGUGGUCUCCGGCGAAAGGUUCUGGACGGGGAGUUCGACUCUCCCCCAUCUCCACCA